rnacentral:rRNA from 1 species
CGCUACGAGCGCACCCUUGUCCUUAGUUGCCAGCACGUCAUGGUGGGAACUCUAGGGAGACUGCCGGUGACAAACCGGAGGAAGGUGGGGACGACGUCAGGUCAUCAUGGCCCUUACGACCUGGGCUACACACGUGCUACAAUGGCUGGUACAGAGGGUUGCGAAGUCGCGAGGCGAAGCUAAUCCCUUAAAGCCAGUCGUAGUCCGGAUCGGAGUCUGCAACUCGACUCCGUGAAGUCGGAAUCGCUAGUAAUCGCGGAUCAAAAUGCCGCGGUGAAUACGUUCCCGGGCCUUGUACACACCGCCCGUCACACCAUGGGAGUGGAUUGCACCAGAAGUGGCUAGUCUAACUACAGAGGACGGUCACCACGGUGUGGUUCAUGACUGGGGUGAAGUCGUAACAAGGUAGCCGUAGGGGAACCUGCGGCUGGAUCACCUCCUU